GUGAAUAUUGUAUUAGGAGUGAGAUUAAAGAAGGCUGGUAUACAUGACUACAUCACGUAUAUAAUCUAUUGUUACGCGAUUUAUCAAGUCUUGAUUGUCAUUAUACUAGAAAUAGCACAAUGUAACUCCCGUGUUAAAGAGAGAAAACAACAAACAUACAUGAUAUACGAGAGAAGAAGUACAUUUAAUUCUAGUUCCAGGGAAUCGGCAGAAGAUGAAACAGAACCACCGGGGAGUUUCUUCAGAAAAGUUGUACUAAAGUUACACAUAUUAGUAAUUACCGCUAUGACAGCUGCAGUAGUUGCCAUUAUUGCUCUCAGUUAAAACCUUACAAACAAAACAGUACGG